UGCAGAAUCCCGUGAACCAUCGAGUCUUUGAACGCAAGUUGCGCCCGAGGGACCCUCCCGAGGGCACGCCUGCCUCACGGGCGUUAGAAGCCCAUCCACGCUCGGCUGCCUAACCAACGGCAGAGAUGCGGACAUUGGCCCUCCGAACCGCGAGGCGCGGUGGGCCUAAGUGUGCGGCCGUCGUACGUGGCCGGGAGCGGCGAGUGGUGGGCUACUGCGCACGUCGCCCCGAGCCCCGUACCGACGCAGGGCCCUGUACGAUCCCCUAACGAGGAGCACGCCUCUGCGGCUUCGGCCGCGCGGCGCCUUCGGACCGAUACCCCAGGUCAGGCGGGGCUACCCGCCGAGUUUAAGCAUAUAAAUAAGCGGAGGAGAAGAAACUUACAAGGAUUCCCCUAGUAACGGCGAGCGAACCGGGAGAUGCCCAGCCUUAGAAUCGCGGCGGCACUGCCGUCCGA
rnacentral:rRNA from 1 species